CUCUCAGCCGGCUUCUGGAGUAAGAAAUAACAACAUCCCCCUCAAGCCCAGAGUUGUCAUUGGCCGUUUAUUUGCAGCCUUUGAAGAGAGUGCUGACGGACAAGGUUGAACAUUGCCGGCAGCUCGGUGCCACAGUUAUCUGUGUGCAGCACACUUCACAACACAAAGGUAAUCACCAACACAAAGGCAUGAUUGCCAAGAACACCACUUGGCACUGCACGGAAUUCUUGCCAUUCUGCUUUUAAUUCUACAGCUGAACCUUCGAGUUUAUGCUUGAAAAUGCACUAUCUGCGGUUCCCAGAUUUUAAUUACCGAAAGCCAAUGGUUCAUCUUACAUUUCCUAAGAGUCUACGGCAUGUCAACAGCCCGUGUUGCGUGGAGCUGGGCCGUACAUCGCCCGGCGCGGCCUGAAAUGGCCGUGGGAUUUACCAUCGCCCGCCUGGGGCUUUGACAUCAGGAGAGAAAUGGCGCAGGGGAGAGAAAAGACUUUGCCUUCCAUCACAGCGAGGAGGAGAUUCACUGUGAUGGAUGUUUUUGUUAAUGAAAUUGUUUGUAUGUCUGUAGGAAUUGUCUUUGUUUGUAUGGCUGUGGAAACGGAGUUUCAUUUGAGCCUCACUGAGGUCUAAAUGACAUGUAAUAAAUAUUGUAUUAUAUAUUUCUUUAGUUGCAGGCACAGUCGAAGCCAGUUUUCUUCAUAGUCGAGGAAGGUUUUCAACGCAUGCGUGGGAGGUGGUAGGAGGUUGCAGGUCCAACAGGAGGCGUGGGUUCGAAUCCCACUUCUGACACCAUGUAAAGACUUGUCAAACACACGAUGUCUUCAUUACUAGUUUAUUUCAAACAUUGUUAUAAUACACACACUGUGCCCUAGCUGUCCGUGAUCUAUCACUGGAGCUAGAGAGUGAGAUAGAGGUGGGGGGGUUACAAUUAUACUGAAGAUAAAGGGGAGUGGUUAGUAGUGGUGAGGUCGCUAUGUUAAAGGAGCAUGCACUGAUCUACAACAUCGACCUUGGUUUUUUUUUGGGUGGCGGGCAGGGUCACCAGAGGUUGCCGUUUGGGUCUCCUAAGUGGGACAGGGAGCUUAAACCUGCAGCCACGAUCGCACGUUUUGCAAAUAUCACGCAAAUUAAUAUUUCCAUCUCGCUUUGUGUUAUACACAAUGCACACUUGCUUCCUCUGUGGUCUCCAGCUAAUUUGACACAAGGUAAAAUGUCACACCGCUGCACGAGAUACAUGAAUAAUCCCUAUCUGUGUUUCUUCUUAUCGUUUUGCUGCACAUGCCACCCAGAGAAACUGCUGACAUUUGAGGGGAUUUACUGACAGACUCCAAGCUAAUCAACAAGGCACAGCAGCGCCUUUACUUCCCGAGGAGGCUCAAGAAAGCCCACCUGUCCCCCCGGAUCCUGACCAACUUUUACCGCUGUACCAUAGAGAGUAUCCUGACCACCUGCUUCACGGUAUGGUACAGCAGCUGCACUGCUGCGGACAGGAAGGCACUACAACAGGUGGUGAAAACCGCGCAGCACAUCAUCGGUGCCCCGCUCCCUGCCAUGGAUGCCCUCCACCGAAAACGGUGUCCGAGACGGGCUGGGAAGAUCAUCAAAGACCCCUCACACCCCAACCAUGGACUGUUUGCCCUCCUCCCAUCAGGUAGGUGGUACAGGAGCCUCAGGUCACGUACUAGUAGGAUGAGGAACAGCUUCUAUAACAACACAAUCACACUGCUGAACUUGGAGUCCCGACGAUAGAUUUCUCUGGUCCCUCCGUCCCCAUUGUUUAAUUAUUCUGUAUUUUUUGAUUAUUCUGUAUCUUCCCUCUUUCUAUUUUUUAAUUUUUUUAUUUUUAAUUUCUUCAUACACAACUACUACGGACUGACGCAAAACUGCAUCUCGUUGUACUCAUACUUGUAUUUGUGCGAUGACAUUAAAGUUGAAUUGAAUUGAAUUGAACAUGGCUGUUCUGGUUCCUAAAGAACUCGCAGAAAAUCCUCAGUCUCCCACAAGGGGGAAAACCAUCGCAGCGAUUUAACAAUCCUGGCACUUCAUCUGAUCUUUGACCCAAGUGACAUCCAUAAAAUACAAAGAGUAAUAUUUACAAUUCAAGCAAUGGGACUUCCUGCAAAUAUUGGAGGUUUAACUAGAGGGUUUAUCGCCAAGGAUGAGGAUCCUGACAUGCCCGUAACAAGAGGGAAAACAAAUCUCAGACCAUCUGGUCCAUCAUCAGCAGUGUAGGGAGGGAUUAAUAUUUCCGAUCAAUGCCUUCAUCUAAACCCUCUCAAAUUUUCAUUGAUCGGCAACAACCCUUUAUUUAUAUUGAAGUUUUAAUGCAGUCAUUUAUCCCAUCAGCUGCAUCUCAGGAACAUUAACACACAAGGCAAUUCACAACCAUGUCAUAAAUAUUGGAGUUGAACAAAGCAGGAAGAACCUAUGACAUAAGGGAGACAUGCAUUUGUAUAGCAGCCGUCUCAUCCUCGGUGCACCUCCAAAUGAAUAAAGAAACGACGUGCUUUUUGAGGAUUGGUUACUCCGAGUGAUAGCAUAGUAGUGAGUUUAGGUUUCUCAGUGGGAUUAGACUCAUGGUUCCAGUAAUGCAACCAGCAAACCCUCUACAUGCAAAUGUGUUCAAUUGUAUCUUUACAUGGAGAAAGCAUUAGAGUUGCUGCUCCACAGCACCAAAGACCCAGGCUCCAUCCUGGAUAUAAGAUUGCUAAGGGUUUGGACACGCUAGAGGCAGGAAACAUGUCCCCAAUGUUGGGGGAGUUCAGAACCAGUGGCCACACACACAGUUUAAGAAUAAGGGGUAAGCCAUUUAGAACGGAGACGAGGAAACACUUUUUCACACGCAGAGAGCUGCGAGUCUGUGGAAUUCUCUGCCUCAGAGGGCGGUGGAGGCAGGUUCUCUGGAUGCUUUCAAUCCGGGCUAUGGCUCAAUUGUUGAACUCCCAAUGUGAUGGCAGAGAUAGAUAAAUAGAUACUUGAAUAGUGCGGGUGUCAGAGGUUAUGAGGAGGAGGCAGGAGGAUGGGGUUAGGGAGGAGAGACAGAUCAGCCAUGACUGAAUGACGGAGCAGACUUGAUGGGCCGAAUGGCCUAAUUCUACUCCUAUCACUUAUGACUACAUGCUUCCAUGUUUAUACACUUAGAGGAAAGCUGGAUGAGUGGAUGAUGAAGAAAGGGAGAUAGGAUUGGUGAUUGGCAAAGAAUAGUGAGUAGUGGACAGUGGACACUAACAAAUGACUGUUCUACAAUAUUCUGUGUAGGGCAUGGAAAUGGCAGGACCUUGUUCGUUUGUGAUUUUUCUACAUGUCAAGGCUCAGCGCUCCUUGAAUUUAUUGAUAUCAGGCGGGCCGAUAAUCAGAUAAGUAAUUCAAAGCCAUUGGACCCAAUAAUCACAUGGAUAAUCAAUUUAAUGCGGUUUGCGGUGUAACACAUGCAUCAAGAGAAGGAAUUGUCUGUGUUAAUACUCACAGGGUAAUCAACCGAAUCAUGUGCUCCACGGACAAUUCUCACACAAUAACUAGCACAAGAGCAACUGAAUCAAUACCCAUUUUGACCAGCUCACUGAAACACGAAUUGAAUUGGUCAGUAAGCAAUGGAAUUGUACACUUCAACCUAGAUAGAAAUAUAUCAACAUUCCCCACAGAACAUAGAAAUAGAAACAUAGACAAUAGGUGCAGGAGUAGAGGCCAUUCAGCCCUUCGAGCCAGCACCACCAUUCAAUAUGAUCAUGGCUGAUCAUCCAACUCAGUAUCCCAUCCCUGCCUUCUCUCCAUACCCCCUGAUCCAUUUAGCCACAAGGGCCACAUCUAACUCCCUCUUAAAUAUAGCCAAUGAACUGUGGCCUCAACUACCUUCUGUGGCAGAGAAUUCCAGAGAUUCACCACUCUCUGUGUGAAAAAUGUUUUUCUCAUCUCGGUCCUAAAAGACUUCCCUCUUAUCCUUAAACUGUGUGACCCUAGUUCAGGACUUCCCCAACAUCGGGAACAAUCUUCCUGCAUCUAGCCUGUCCAUAAUCUUCCUGCAUUGAACGUGGAACAGUACAGCUAAAGAACCAGCCCUUCGGCCCAACAUGUUUGUGGUGAAUAUGAUGCCAAGACUAAGUCUUAUCUACCUGAUGCGAUGACAAGUCUUCCCUAAGUUCUGGUCCGCUCUGUUUCCAUUCCAUUCAAUCUGCUCUGUCACCAUCCCUGUCGCCAUCAGACAGACCCAAAGAGGCUCAGUAACAGAUCCUAGUUACAGGGAGACACCGACACUCUGUACUGAGCUGAGGCCCCGGUCUAAUGAGCUGCAGCUGGGCCCAAUUAGUGGUUAUUGUAUCAACUCAACUACACCUGGUCAGCCCCAGUCAUUAACACAGGAGGUCCAGCGAGAGGGGGAAUGAGAGAGAGG